GGGGAGUCUUGAGGCAGCUAAGAAAUUUACUAUGGCAUAAGCUUUAGUGGACUACAAUCCAUUUCAUCAGAUACAUGGCUAACCUGAUUUGACAGGUAAAUAUACCUGCCAAAUCACAAACACAUGGGUUAAUGAAAAAAAGAGAGAUUGAGCAGUGAGGUGUGUGUAUGAGAAAGUGAAAGCCAAUAUUAUUUUUUUCAAAUAGCCUAGUUUCAUGAGCUUACAGUAAAUUCCUCAUUUUUUCCCAUUUUCUGGGAAACUUCUUGUUCUGGUAAGUCAAGUGUUGUCAUCCUGGAUCAUCACAAACUGCUCCACUGUGGAGAGUCUGACUCAGUGCCACUGAGCACUUUCAUUACUAAGGCUGAUCCCUAGACGAAGGCUACAGAAGGAAUUGCCUGGAAGGCUGCAAGCAGGGAGAUCUGGAAACUGUAUAGACAAGACAUGGGUAGACCAGAACCUAAUGCUUGAAUCCCUUUCCAGAUUUCCUCUGUUUCAGACCAGAUUCCAUUUCUCUCUCCCCCACCAACCCCCUGCCCUACUGAUGCGUAGUAAAUAGAGAGACUCACUUGGCACCUAUGCCAGUGUCUCUUGCAGCUUUCCUGAACCUGAUGCCCUCCAGAUGUAGCUGGAGUGAAGCUGCAGCCAGUGUGACCAGUGGUCAGCUGUGAUGGGAGCUAUAGUUCAAAAUAUCUGGAGGACACCAAGCUUGGGGAAGCUGCCUCAGUGGGACCAUUUUAUUCUCCCUCGCUUUUUAACUUCUGAGGAGUUUUAAUAUUUUUUAUGGCUACUAUUUUCUCUGUUUUAUUGAUGGCUUGAUUGUAUUAUUUUUAUUUUAUGUACUGCCCAGAUAAUCAGUUACUGGAGAGUGAUAUACGAAUUUAUAAAACAUAUGAAUACAAGCUUUACAGGAAUUCAUGACAGGAGAAGGAUGCCUAUGGAAUCCUUCACUCUCCAAAAACCUAGGUCAACUCCUGCAUUUUUGCUGAUAUGCAUCUAGUUGACUUUGAUCAAAUCAAAGAUAUAUGUGUGAGCCAAAAUAGAUUCUUAUACACACCCAACAAUAUAUAGAAUCAUAGAGUUGGAAGGGAUCAUGAGGAUUGUCUCGUCUAUCCCCCUGCAAUGCAGGAAUCUUUCACCCAACAUGGGGCUCAAACCUACGGCUCUGAGAUUAAGUCUCAUGCUCUAUUGACUGAGCUAUUUCUCAAGUUUGAGAAGUGUAUUUCUUAACCUUCCAAAGAUCUUUGGUGAUUUCUCAGUCAGAAGCCUGCUGGGAUUAGAGCAAUGGCCCACCUAGUCUAGCAUCCUGUUCCACAGUGGCCAGCCAGAUGGUGUCUGAAGGCCACAAGCAGGACAUGAGCACAACGACACUUGACUUGCUCUGCUUACUGUGAUUCCCAGCAACUGGUAUUCAGACGCAUGAUGUCAGUGGAGGCGGAACAUUAACUGGAGGUAGAACUUUUUAAAUAGCAACCAUUAUUUAUUUAUUUAUUUAUUUAUUGCAUUUACAUCAUACUCCCCCCCCCAUAAUAUUUAUUGAGUUUCAUACAAACACAUAACUUCAACAUAGCAAAAAUAAGAAAAACAAUAAUAAAAGAAAAGAAAAUAGAAAAUAGAAAAAAUAAGAUAUUACAAACCUCACAUAUAAUACCCACAAGUACCACCACCUACACAAAUACAAUAAAACUUAAUUAAUUAGUUAAACUCCAACUUCACAAACAUAUUACAGUGGUGCCUCGCAAGACGAAAUUAAUUCGUUCCGCGAGUUUUGUCGUCUUGCGAUUUUUUUCGUCUUGCGAAGCACGGUGUCGGGAAAGUUUUGGAAAAGCUUCAAAAGUCAGCAAAGUCUUUAAAAACCUCAAAAAAGGCUACCACACCGCGUUCUAUGAGUUGCUCCUCGAAGUCAAGUCGCAACUGUAUUAACGGUGUUAAGAAAAAGGAAACAAACUUGCAAGACGUUUCUGUCUUGCGAAGCAAGCCCAUAGGGAAAAUCGUCUUGCGAAGCAGCUCAAAAAACAAAAAACCCUUUCGUCUAGCGAGUUUUUUGUCUUGCGAGGCAUUCGUCUUGAGAUGUACCACUGUACUUGACUUCCUCUAAUCUCUUCCAUCUGAAUUUCCUUGUAACUGAGUGUAGCAGUUUCCAAUAUCAUUAUUCCAUAUAACAAUAUUCCGGUUAUAAUCAAAUUUCCUAACUUUUCUAUCCUUCUGUUUCUCAUUGUGUUCCAUUUUUGGGCUAUUAAAAUCCGUGCAGCAGUUGUGGCAUAAAAAAAAUACUUUUACAUCUUUUUUUGGGCAAUUCCGAACCUAUUAUUCCAAGGAGAAAGGCCUCUGGUUUCUUCAUAAGGUACAUCAUACUUUUUCCUCCGAUGAGCUCAGGAAUAGCCUACAUGGCUCUCUCCCUUCCUCAUUUAACCCCCACAACAACCCUGUGAGGUAGGUUAGGCUGAGAGGCAGUGACUGGCCCAAGGCCACCCAGUGAGCUUUAUGACCAAGUGGGGUUCCGAAAUCUGGUCUCCCAAGUCCUAGUCGAAUGCUCUAACCACUAUACAACACUACCUCCCUCCUAAGGAAUAGUGUCAUCCAUGGCAUAUGCCUUGUUAAGUAGAGGCACUGGCAAGAAAUAGAAAUGCACAUAAAAAACCCAGAUGCAGCCCAAACGCUCCUCAUCCCACAUGCAUAUGGUCUCCAGCUUUUGGUGGGUUAUUGUAGAAGUUCAAGAUGUCUGUUCUGUUUCCCCUGGAAGGACCUCGCUCUACAACAAAACCAAGUAUUUUUGGCAACAUGUAAAGCAAUUGCACUCUUAAUGUGACUUCAGAUGAAAGUCUAAUUUCAGUGAUUUAGAGACUGACUUCCUUUUGCAUGGGAACUCUCUGUAAUGGCAUGCACUUGCCUUGCUUACAGACAUGUAAGUUAAAUUUGGUCAGGGAUAUAGUGUACCAAGUUCCUGUUUCUAUAAGCUUGUUUGCUAGUCUGGACUACAUAUAUACCGUAUUUUUCGCCCUAUAGGACGCACUUUUUCCCCUCCAAAAAUGAAGGGGAAAUCUGUGUGCGUCCUAUGGGGCGAAUGCAGGCUUUUGCUGAAGCUUGGAGAGUGAGAGGGGUCGGUGUGCACCGACCCCUCUCGCUCUCCAGGCUUCAGGAAGCUAUCAGCAAGCCUGGGGAGCACGCGGGAGUUCCCGCAGGGCUCCCUAGGCUGCGGAUAGCAGCCUGCUGCCCGGAGCGCAGGGCGCGCUGAAGCCGCGGCUGUGGGGGUAAUAAAUUCCCCCCUUCCCCCCCAAAAAAAACUAGGUGCGUCCUAUGGGCCGGUGCGUCCUAUAGGGCGAAAAAUACGGUGUGUAUAUAUAUAUAUAUAUAUAUAUAUAUAUAUAUAUAUGUGUGUGUGUGUGUGUGUGUGUGUGUGUGUGUGUCUGGUAAAGAAGCUUCCUCUUGGAGGAUGGUAGAUUAGUUUUGGAAAUAAGUGUUGUGGAACUGUGGGGUUCUGGGGAGGAGAAAAAAGGGUUUUAUAGAGUGAUAAUGUUCUGGAAGAGGGCAUGGGGUUUGAAAAAAAGGAAAUCCUUUGCCAAUGAAACCUAGUUGGCAAACUUCCUGAAUGCUUUGGGGCAAAGCUAUAGCUGCAAUAAAUACCUUUCCUGGCUGGUUUUGUUUCCUGGUCUUCACAGCCAUAAGAAAGGUAGCCCAUCUAGUUGAGCUUCCUGUUCUCUCAGGGGCCAACAAUGAUCCGAGCAUGAGCCUCACUGACCCUGUAAAUAUUGAACAUUCAUUCCCAUGGGAAAUGCAAAAUCAGUCCUGUCUUGCAACAGGGUGAAACAAACUACUUUAGGUGCCACUUUAUCCUCUGGUUAUCGCCCACUUGGAUUACAGCAAUGUGCUCUAUGUGAGGCUACCUUUGAUGGGCUGGCCCUGACUUUGGGGAAGGUUGCUGCAUAUCUCUGUACACUAAUAUGCAACUGAAGACAGACCAUGUUGCAUAGGCCAAUCUUGCUUUGUAUUUGAUUAUUAUGGUGCUGGAGGAGACUCUUGAGAGUCCCAUGGACUGCAAGAAGAUCAAACCUCUCCAUUCUUAAGGAAAUCAGCCCUGAGUGCUCACUGGAAGGACAGAUCCUGAAGCCGAGGCACCAAUACUUUGGCCACCUCAUGAGAAGAGAAGACUCCCUAGAAAAGACCCUGAUGUUGGGAAAGAUUGAAGGCACAAGGAGAAGGGGACGAGAGAGGACGAGAUGGUUGGAUAGUGUUCUUGAAGCUACCAGCAUGAGUUUGACCAAACUGCGGGAGGCAGUGGAAAACAGAAGUGCCUGGCGUGCUCUGGUCCAUGGGGUCACGAAGAGCCGGACACGACUAAACAACAACAUGCUGCUGUCAAAGACUUUUAUCUGCUAUGUUUCAGCUGUGAACGUCAUUUUUAUCUCUAUUGCUUUCUUAAUGUUCUGUAUCUUAUGUAUUUUUUAUUGUAUUUAUUUUGUUUUGUUUUAUGGGCAUUUUUUGUAGCCUGCACUUUAAAUUGUUGUUAGUCACCUGGAGUGGUUCAUGAGCCCAAGAAAGCUGGGAUGUACAUUUUUUAAUGCAAAGAAAGAAAUUUAAAUUCAGGCGCAAGAGAGUAUCUAAGAUAGUAAAGUUCUGGAAUCUCACCCACCCCAGCCCGAACAUCUUUUUGAAGUAAUUCUUGAAAUAGUUAAGGUAUUCUUUUGCCUCACAAAAUUAACUUGCACUAAAACUGUUUUCAGGAAAGCGGGUUUUUGGAUGCAAAUGUUUUAGAAGAGAGACACAUGUGCUACACUCAGCCUGUGUUCUUUGAGAUGUUUUUGAGCUGCUUCACAUUGUAAGGGGAGUCCAUAGAUGGCAGGGACAGCAAUGCGGUUGGGGUGGGAGCAGAUUAUUGUUGCCAUUCCACAAUAGUCUCAUUUUUGGCAAGAGACCAAAGAGGCGAGGCACCUAAGGUAUCAUCUAGGACUGCAUCAACGGCAAAUUAAAAGACUUGUAGUGCAACUUUAGACAUCCUGGGGCCCUCAAAAUGUUUUGGACUACAGUUUCCAUGAGCACAUACAGCUGCACUGCCUGGGGCUAGGGAUAGUUGCAUCUGUCAGUUUUGGACAGUUUUGGAGUUGGCUUCUUAUUUUCCCACUCUUCAGUUCUCCCUUUCACUUUGAAAUGAUUACUUUUUCAAAGAAAGUCCUCAAGAAAACUCAUUGGUAUUUUAACGUGCAUUUCUCCUAAUACUGUAAGUACAUUUUGGUCUGGGAUUUUUGCUUUUUGUAUGCUAUUUUCACAAUCCCAAUAUAUGCAUUUUUCUACACAUCAUUUGGCUGGAGAACUGCACUGCAGAAGUAAGAAGUGCAGAUUUUUUUUGAAAAAAUGUUAUUAGAAGAUUUUCUUGGGUAGCAAAAGUACAUACAGCGUCUGUUUUCAAUAGGAGUCCUUUCUACAGACCAGUUUUGAUGGUGGGUUAUUUCACAUAUUGUGUUGGAAAGUUUGAAUUAGGUAAGAUUAAAUGCGAACUAAUUUCAAUUUCUCCCUCAGGCCUAGCUGGAGCUUAUAGGAGUUGUAGCCUAAAACCUCCAGAAGGCAACAGAUUGGCAAAGAGUAUUCUAGUGUAUCAGCCAUUAAGAUGAACAUUGUGGCCUUCAAAAGAAGGCAUUUAUAAGGCAUCCCAAAGCAGACCUCUAGGCAGAAGGGCUUUCUCUUCUUCUUCUUCUUCUUCUUCUUCUUCAUUUGGAUACUGCCCUUCAUCCAAAGACCCCAGGGUGGUUCAUAACAGAAAAAUACAAAAUGACAGUACAAAAUACGUAAGGCAAAAACAAACCAACAACUCUCCCUCCCUCACAUUAAUAUUAUUAUUUAUUAAAUGAGAGAAACUUUAGCAACAGAAACACAAAACAAAUCCUAUUUGGCCCUGUAUACAUGAAGGAGCAUCUCUACCCCCAUUAUUCAGCCUGGACACUGAGAUCUAGCUCUGAGGGCCUUCUGGCAGUUCCCUCACUGAAAGGUGUGAGGUUACAGGGAACCAGGCAGAGGGCCUUCUCGGUAGUGGCGCCCGCCCUGUGGAAUGCCCUCCCAUCAGAUGUCAAGGAAAUAUGCAACUAUCUGACUUAUAGAAGACAUCUAAAGGCAGCCCUGUUCAGGGAAGUUUUUUAUGUUGUCAUAUUGUGUUUCAAUUUGUUGGAAGGCACCCAGAGUGGCUUGGGGAACCCAGUCAGAUGGGCAGCAUAUAAAUAAUUGGUGGUGAUAAUGUACAAAUAGCAAGCAUAUUUUACAAGUGUGGCUCCUUAAGAUGCUUAAAAGUGCCCCAUCCAUGCUCAAGGAGGAGAUGUCAGCAGACUUGGAGAAAUGUGAAGGUUUGGGAAAACUGGGAGGGGGGGGACCCUAAAAGCGGGUGACGUAACAGCUUGGUGAUGAGUGAGCUAACUCACUGGGCACUGAAUAUGGACUGACUGCCAGGGGUGGAGAUCAGAAAACUGGGAGGUAGGAAAGGGAUGGAGUAUUUUGGAAAGGGGCAUGGCUGGCUAGCAUCCUGAACAGGAGCUCUCCACUCCAUAACAUUCUUUGCAGGUCCCAGUUGUAUCACGUAACACUGUUACUAGCAUAAAAAUAUUUUUCAGUUUAAUUGAUUGAUUCUGGAACAUUUGUAACCACAGGAAAAAAGCCACACUGGUGCAUUCGUCUUCAUAACAGCCCAGUGCAGUGGGUCAUCGCUACUUGCAGAGGAAGAAAUGGGGUGAGAUGGAACGAUUUGAUGGAAACAAAUUUACGUUUCCAUCAGAAUUUGAAUAGAGGCCUUCCAGCUCAAAAUCCAAGAUUUGUACUGCAUGAACAAUACUCAGAAUGUUGGGAAAGGGAACUGCCUGUGAAAGCUCUUAGGCUGGAAUUGAAGGAAGACUGCCCCCGACACCCCCCCAAAAGCAUAGGGAUGCAGGAGGGGGCAAAGAUCUUCCCCUCUGCCAUCAGUAAUAGAGGGCACACCAUUUGGAGUCCUUGUAAUAUGAGGG